rnacentral:misc_RNA from 1 species
GAAAUGCGAUAAGUAAUGUGAAUUGCAGAAUUCAGUGAAUCAUCGAAUCUUUGAACGCACAUUGCGCCCGCCAGUAUUCUGGCGGGCAUGCCUGUUCGAGCGUCAUUACAUCCCUCAGGCCCCCGGGCCUGGCGUUGGGGAUCGGCGGAAGCCCCCUGCGGGCACAACGCCGUCCCCCAAAUACAGUGGCGGUCCCGCCGCAGCUUCCAUUGCGUAGUAGCUAACACCUCGCAACUGGAGAGCGGCGCGGCCACGCCGUAAAACACCCAACUUCUGAAUGUUGACCUCGAAUCAGGUAGGAAUACCCGCUGAACUUAAGC